AUGAAUCUGUUGGCCUGAAACUGUCGAGGACUGGGGUUGGACUUGACAGUGGGCGAAUUGUGAGACCUGGUACGGUCCUACAACCUAGCGGUGGUGUUUCUUUGUGAGACUAAGAAAAAAGCGAAGGCGAUGGAGAGGCUAAAGUGGAGCUUGGGAUUCAGGAAUGGUGUAGCGGUGGACUGUGUGGGAAAGAGUGGUGGUCUAGCACUAUGGUGGCGUGAUCAUGUGCAAGUUACUGUCCGGCCGUGGUGCCAAUAUUUUCUGGAUGCGGAGGUGGUAGUUGAAGGGCAAACCUGUAGGAUCACUGGAUUCUACGGGGAACAGAAGACGGAGUUACGCAAAAAAAACUGGGACGCACUAUUGUAUUUGCGUGCACAGGAUGACUUGCCGUGGAUUUGUCUAGGUGAUUACAAUGAGGCCUUGUUCCAAAUAGACCAGCUGGGUGGCAAUCAGAGGAGAUUCAUGCAAAUGGAGGCUUUCCGGGACUGUCUAGACGACUGCGGCCUGGCGGACCUGGGGUUCUCGGGAUACCCAUAUACAUGGGAUAAUAAGUGUGAUGGCCAAGAAAAUGUUCAGGUGUGUUUGGAUCGUGCAACAUGCAACGAGGGAUUCUUGGAGAUGUUCCUAGAAUCAGUCGAACACAUCAUUACGGAAGAAUCCGAUCACCAAGCAAUUCUGGUCAGGGCAUUAGAGACGGAUCCAUGUCAAGAACGACCAGGACCCAGACCGUUUCGCUUUGUAGAAGGUUAG
rnacentral:rRNA from 1 species